GGGGGGGGGGGGGGGGGGGGGGGGGGGGGGGGGGGGGGGGGGGGGGGGGGGGCGGGCGGGGGGAGUGAGGGGCGGACGGGUGAGUAAUGCGUGGGGAUCUGCCUGGUAGUGGGGGAGAGCGUCCGGAAGCGGGGGCUAAUACCGCGUACGUCCUGAGGGAGAACGUGGGGGAUGUUCGGACCUCACGCUAUCAGGUGCGCCUAGGUCGGAUUAGCUAGUUGGUGGGGUAAAGGCCUACCAAGGCGACGAUCCGUAACUGGUCUGAGAGGAUGAUCAGUCACACUGGAACUGAGACACGGUCCAGACUCCUACGGGAGGCAGCAGUGGGGAAUAUUGGACAAUGGGCGAAAGCCUGAUCCAGCCAUGCCGCGUGUGUGAAGAAGGUCUUCGGAUUGUAAAGCACUUUAAGUUGGGAGGAAGGGCAGUAAGUUAAUACCUUGCUGUUUUGACGUUACCAACAGAAUAAGCACCGGCUAACUUCGUG
rnacentral:rRNA from 1 species